GACGAACGCUGGCGGCGUGCUUAACACAUGCAAGUCGAACGGUGAAGCUCCAGCUUGCUGGAGUGGAUCAGUGGCGAACGGGUGAGUAACACGUGAGCAACCUGCCCCUGACUCUGGAAUAAGCGCUGGAAACGGCGUCUAAUACUGGAUACGAGAAGGGUCCGCAUGGGCACUUUCUGGAAAGUUUUUCGGUUGGGGAUGGGCUCGCGGCCUAUCAGCUUGUUGGUGAGGUAAUGGCUCACCAAGGCGACGACGGGUAGCCGGCCUGAGAGGGCGACCGGCCACACUGGGACUGAGACACGGCCCAGACUCCUACGGGAGGCAGCAGUGGGGAAUAUUGCACAAUGGGCGAAAGCCUGAUGCAGCGACGCCGCGUGAGGGAUGACGGCCUUCGGGUUGUAAACCUCCUUCAGCAGGGAAGAAGCGAAAGUGACAGUACCUGCAGAAGAAGCACCGGCUAACUACGUG
rnacentral:rRNA from 1 species